AUGCUUGCUUUGGCAGCACAUAUACUAAAACUGGAAUGAUACAGAGAAGAUUAGCAUGGCCCCUGCACAUGGAUGACAUGCAAAUUCAUGAAGCAUUCCGUAGUUUU
rnacentral:snRNA from 1 species